rnacentral:rRNA from 1 species
UACGGGGGGAGCAAACGUUGUUCGGAAUCACUGGGCGUAAAGGGCGUGUAGGCGGCUGAAUAAGUGGGAUGUUAAAUCCCCCGGCUCAACCGGGGACCUGCAUCUCAUACUGUUCAGCUCGAGCACAUCAGAGGAGACUGGAAUUCCCGGUGUAGCGGUGAAAUGCGUAGAUAUCGUAAGGAAGACCAGUGGCGAAGGCGAAUCUCUGGACAGUUACUGACACUGAGGCACGAAGGCCAGGGGAGCAAACGGG